UACGUAGGGGGCUAGCGUUGUCCGGAAUCAUUGGGCGUAAAGAGCGUGUAGGCUGCUCGGUAAGUCCGCUGUAAAAGUCAAAGGCUCAACCUUUGAAUGUCAGUGGAUACUGCCGGGCUAGAGUCCGGAAGAGGCGAGUGGAACUCCUGGUGUAGCGGUGGAAUGCGCAGAGAUCGGGAGGAACACCAGAGGCGAAGGCGGCGACCUGGACAGGUACUGACACUCAACUACGAAAGCGUGGGGAGCAAACAGG
rnacentral:rRNA from 1 species